UCAAAAUAGCAAAGAGGUCCGCAACAGU
rnacentral:sRNA from 1 species